UUGUAAACUAUUACUUAAGCAUGUAGCAAGUAUGACUUCGCCAAUUAAUGUUUUAAUUGGCUUAAAUUUUGCUAAAAUAUGUGCUAUUUUUUAUCCUAAUUUAAAAAACAACACAUGAACUAGCUAAAAAAGAAGCUAAAGUUUGGUAUGCCAAGAAUUUCAAAGUAAAGAAUUCAUUAGACAAAUCAAUUCUUAUCGGAUUUCCGAGCUUCAAUUGCUUUCUUUCGCUCCUUGAGUUUGUUAACGUGAGCAUUCUUCCGUUCCUUGUUUUUCUUGAUAGCUUCAUAAAGGCCCCUCUUUUUACGAGGCAUAAGCAAUGUUUCCCGUCUUUCAUUGUCUUCAAUAAACUGCUGCAAGUCAGUGCGAGACUCCUCCUUAGACUCUGUGUCCUUAACAGGGCUCUUCUUAAUUUUCUUUGACACAGGUGAAGAAUGGAGAUUCUGAAGUUCCAUUUUUAGUUCUUCAUGAUGCUGCUUCUCAAGAUCUUCCAUCUUCUGCUUCCUCUCAGCAGCUUCAAUAGCCUCUGUUCGACUGAUGUAACCUUCAACCAACAAAUUCUGAGGAUCAUCUAGAUCUUCCUUUCCUACACCUAGAAUUGGAAGGACUUCAUUUCUGGCUGCAGCCUG
rnacentral:misc_RNA from 1 species